GCCGAAGUGGCGGAAUUGGUAGACGCGCCAGAUUCAGGUUCUGGUUCUCGCAAGGGAGUGCUGGUUCGAUUCCAGUCUUCGGCACCA
rnacentral:tRNA from 5 species